rnacentral:rRNA from 1 species
GACGAACGCUGGCGGCGUGCCUAAUACAUGCAAGUGGAACGCAUUGAUAUCACCGGAGCUUGCUCCACUGAUAUUAAUGAGUCGCGAACGGGUGAGUAACGCGUAGGUAACCUGCCUGAUAGCGGGGGAUAACUAUUGGAAACGAUAGCUAAUACCGCAUGAGAGUGUUUAACACAUGUUAGAGACUUAAAAGAUACCAUUGUAUCACUAUCAGAUGGACCUGCGUUGUAUUAGCUAGUUGGUAGGGUAGCGGCCUACCAAGGCACCGAUACAUAGCCGACCUGAGAGGGUGAUCGGCCACACUGGGACUGAGACACGGCCCAGACUCCUACGGGAGGCAGCAGUAGGGAAUCUUCGGCAAUGGACGAAAGUCUGACCGAGCAACGCCGCGUGAGUGAAGAAGGUUUUCGGAUCGUAA